UGCAAUGCGUCAGAACAGCUUUCCACAAAUGCAGCUUAAUCAGACACAGUAGAAGCAACCGCUGACCAUGGACAACUUCAGUGAUUAAAAAUCAAACACAUUUUCUGUUUGGUGUAAUUACUGCAAAGCUUUUUUGUGAUAUUAUCUUAUGAAAAACAAUGAUUGGCAAAUUUUUGAUCAUCUUCAUUCUCUACUCAGUGUUGCAGUUCUUUGUGAUACACUUUGUGAACUCAGUGUAACUGGAUAUGUGGGUCAAACAGCCAAUAUUGACUGCACUUAUGCACAAGAGAACACCUUCUACCCAAAAUACUUCUUCAAAAUAUCACCAGGACGCAAUAUCAAAUCCAUUUACACAUUAAAAGGAAGAAAGUUUCUCCGUGAUGGCAGAGUAUCUAUGCAUGAUUAUUAUCAGAGGAAAGUUUUUCAAGUAACAAUAGAUACCCUGACUGAAAAUGAUGUUGGACUUUAUGCUUGUGCAGUUGGCAAAGGUCAUAGUGUGGAAACUUUUGUUCUGGUCAAACUUUCAGUGAUGACAGCUUCUCAACCACAAGAAAAGACAGUCAGACCCUCUGUCGAAUGCACAGACAGAUCACACAGCAACAUGACGACAGGACUGUUCACAUCAACACUGUCAGCUGUUACUGAAAUGUCCAAAGAAUACAAACAGUCAACAGCAUCAUCAGGUAGUUGGCAGAUGAAGAUGGAGAAAUACUCAAACCAUACCCAGAUCAAAAUCCCAGGAGAUCAGCAGUUACAGGAAUAUUCAAACCAGCCCAUCUGGCAUCAACAAUCAUGCCAUGGUCCAAAUCACCGAGAUCACAUUUUAUCCCCAUUCUGAUGGUUGAUGUGAACAUUAACUGGAGCUCCUGACCUGUAUCUGAAUUAUUUUAUGCAUUGCUGCCACAUGAUUGGCUGAUUAGAUAAUUACAUGAAUAAGUAGAUGUACAGGUGUUCCUAACAAAGUGCUCAGUGAGUGUGUAUACAUACAUACAUACAUACAUACAUGUGUGUGUAUAUAUAUAUAUAUAUAUAUAUAUAUAUAUAUAUACACACACACACACAAACACACACACACACAACUUAUAUUUUGAAAUAUUUACAUAUUUAUUUUGAAGGGACAGCGAAAACACAUCUGAUCAAGUCAAAUGCCCAUUUACAUACAGUGCAAAAAUAAAAUGUCUUUGUAUUGUUGUGUAUUCGAAAUUGUCAUAUUACAAUGGUGAUUCAGAUUAUGAUAACAAUAUUAUUAUAAUUGUAUUAUUAUUAUUUUACUACCACCAUAUAUAUAUAUUAAAGAACCAAUUUCCUCUGUCAUACUCUAUUUUGUCUGUGUUUCCCAGCAGAAGUGUCGGCAUUGCAAAACACAAGGUACAGGAAGAGUGCAAAUACACGGACUGAUAAUUAUGAAAUUGGCCAGAAGACUGAAAACGUGUACAAUCAAUCAGACAGUAGCAAGUGCCAAAACUCGAUCUACCAGACUCUACACCUGAAUCAGCCUGAUCCAAUUUAUCAAUGUCUAAACAUUAAAACUAACAGAAGAAACUAGCUUCAUUUUAACUGUGUGUGUUUGUGCAUAUAACAUACUUGUAAUUAACUUAAGGUCAUAUUAUACACAUUUUAUCUCUCUCUCUAUAUAUAUAUAUAUAUAUACACACAC